CCUUAGAUGUUCUGGGCCGCACGCGCGCUACACUGACAGAGCCAACGAGUAUAAACCUUAACCGAGAGGUUUGGGUAAUCUUGUUAAACUCUGUCGUGCUGGGGAUAGAGCAUUGCAAUUAUUGCUCUUCAACGAGGAAUAUCUAGUAAGCGCAAGUCAUCAGCUUGCGUUGAUUACGUCCCUGCCCUUUGUACACACCGCCCGUCGCUACUACCGAUUGAAUGGCUCAGUGAGGCCUUCGGACUGGCUCAGGGAGGUCGGCAACGACCACCCAGAGCCGGAAAGUUGGUCAAACUUGGUCAUUUAGAGGAAGUAAAAGUCGUAACAAGGUUUAGAAUAAUGACCUUCUGCAGUAACGCUUAUGAGAAGCCUUUGCGACCCCGCAAGGGGUACCUGCCGCGACUGUAAACAAGAAUGCAAGUAUUAAAUCGCAAGUCAGUUCAACUGGCAACACUUUCGAAUUGCGGGGAUACCCUAAAGCCCUUCUCUACCAAACCAGCUGGGAAAUCAGCUGGCGGCCCAUGCUAAUCACAUGGGGUAUGGUAACAACGAGAAGGGAUAAUUUAGUAUGGGCAAUCCGCAGCCAAGGCCCUACGGCGUAAGCUAUGGGAAAGGUUCACAGACUAAGUGGAAGUGGGUUGUAAAACUUUACAGCUUAAGAUAUAGUCGGGCCCUGUAAGAGAUUACGGGGGAGUUACUAAUAAUGACACAGAACUGACCGCUUUACCCUCACAGGGGCAGCUUUCGAAUUCUCGUCAACCUGGUACAUGCCGUUCCGUAGGUGAACCUGCGGAAGGAUCAUUACAUACAAAAGUUUAUACUUUUUAAACCCAUUGUGAACCAAAAACCCUGAACUGCUUCGGUAGCAGGCCCGUUCCGUUUACGACGGUUGGGUGCCGUCAGCCUACCGGUAGCAAACCUAUUAAACUUGUUUUGAAAACUUGUCUGAAAACAAUCAUUUUCGAAUGAAAAUUAAAACUUUCAACAACGGAUCUCUUGGUUCUCGCAUCGAUGAAGAACGCAGCGAAACGCGAUAGUUAAUGUGAAUUGCAGAAUUCAGUGAAUCAUCGAGUCUUUGAACGCACAUUGCGCCUUUUGGUAUUCCGAAAGGCAUGUCUGUUUGAGCGUCAUUUCAACUCCUUCAACCCUUAGGUUGGUUUUGAGCUCGGAACACCCUUCUUGCAAGGGACCCGGCUUUAAAGUUGAACGCUCUGCGGGUGACUCUACCGAACCGAACAUAGUAAUAAGCUUCUUUGCCUUGUUCCGCUUAGGUAUUUGGGUCAGCUUCGCCUGAACAACAAUCUUUUUUUUUAAGGUUUGACCUCAGAUCAGACAAGGAUACCCGCUGAACUUAAGCAUAUCAAUAAGCGGAGGAAAAGAAACCAACAGGGAUUGCCUCAGUAACGGCGAGUGAAGCGGCAACAGCUCAAAUUUGAAAUCUGGAGUCUUCGACUUCCGAGUUGUAAUUUGAAGAGGAUGUUUCGGUUGUGGCCAUGGCCUAAGUUCCUUGGAACAGGACGUCGUAGAGGGUGAGAAUCCCGUACACGGCUGGUGGCUUACUUCCAUGUGAAACUCCUUCGAAGAGUCGAGUUGUUUGGGAAUGCAGCUCAAAAUGGGUGGUAAAUUUCAUCUAAAGCUAAAUAUUGGCGAGAGACCGAUAGCGCACAAGUAGAGUGAUCGAAAGAUGAAAAGCACUUUGAAAAGAGAGUUAAACAGUACGUGAAAUUGUUGAAAGGGAAGCGCUUGCAAUCAGACUCGCUUUCGGUUGAUCAAGGUUCCUUCUGGUUCCUGCACUCUGCCGUUUGCGGGCCAGCAUCAGUUGGAGCGGUGGGAUAAAGGCUUCGGGAAUGUGGCACCCUUCGGGGUGUGUUAUAGCCCGUCGCGUAAUACCGCCUGUUCCGAUUGAGGUCCGCGCUUUUGCUAGGAUGCUGGCUUAAUGGUUGUAAGCGAC
rnacentral:rRNA from 1 species